UGUUGCAGAGCCACCUACUGGAGACCAAGCUGGGUGACCAGCUGCUGCCAGUCCUGCUGCCAGCCCAGCUGCUGUGGGUACCCCUGCUGCCAAACACACUGCACUCUCAGUUGCCUCACUCUCUGUUACCAGACCAACUGGGGCCAACCAACUUGCUGUGAAGCCACCUUCUGCAGGACUAUCUUCUGCAGCACAGUGUGCCACCAUCUCUGCUGCUGUGGGUCUAGCUGCUGCCAGCCA
rnacentral:lncRNA from 1 species